UCUCCUGUUGGGAAUCAAAGUAUCCAUGGGAGAAAUCCCUGUUUUCCCUCAGGUUGGGAUCACAUUUGGCAGCACUUCCUGGGCAGCUCCUGCUUCCCUUUAUCAGCCACUUCCUGAACACUUUCUCCUGUUGUUUCCAUCCAUCUCACACCCUUAAGGAGCAGAACUUGGAAAUGGGAAAACAAAAACCUGGAAGUUCUUUCCAGGAAUCCCUCCUGGAUUUCCUGACAGUCAAAAACUACUGCUUAAUCCAUAGAUCCACAUGAAGAUCAUUGGGAAUUUUCAUGUUCUGCCGUUGGGAUUUUCCCUUGCUGUUCUCUAGCAGGGAAGGGUAAAGGCCUUGAAAUUCCUUCCCCAAAAGUUAUCAUUCCAUUCUCCUUAGAAUCACUGGGAGCAGGUUUGUGCCUGAGGGUGGGAUUCACCAGCAUUCCUGAGGACCUCGUGGAGAGGCGAGUCAAACUUUGGAGCUGGAAAACUUUGCUUUUGAUUUAACUAAUUUGGCUGGAAUUCUGAGGAUUUGAGGACUCCUGAAGGAGCCAGCAGAACCAGGGAAUUGUUCCCAAAGGUGCUGAAUUGGAUUAACAGCAUUUCUUAGGGAGUGCUGGGGAAUUCCAGAGCAUUGAAGGCUGCAGGAAUUGUCACAGCCCUUGUGCAGAAAUCCAGCACUGUGUCCUGGAAUGCUGCCCCUCCCAGGAUCCCUUUCCCUGGCUGAAAUGUCACCAUGUUCCCCGGGAAUGUCCCAGUCCCAACCUGCUGUCCCGCUGGGAAGUUCAAGCCCAGGCCUGCCAGCUCCCAGCUUAUCUGCUGGGGAAAUCCAUCUGGAAAUCCAUCUGGAAAACUGAAACCAAAGGAGCUUUGUGCUCUGGCAGCUCCCACAGCAGCUUUUCCUUGGUGCUCUGGAGCAGAGGCGCUUCCCUUCUCCCUGAGAGCACAUCCAGGUCACCUCGCCCAGGAGCUGGAGACUCCUGUCCUGAGGGCACAGCAUGGAUGCUGCAUCCUGGGAGAGAGAGCCCUGGCAGGCACCUGAAUGCCCUGAACAACUCCCAUUUCAUUCAGGAUUGCAAAGUAUUCCAAGUAUUUUGAGUUCUUUUUAGCAAACUUUCCAUUCUGCAGUGACUGUUUCUCCUUUUUUUUUAAGUUUGGAGUAAAAGUGGAUCCCAGA